GUUGACCUCGGAUCAGGUAGGAAUACCCGCUGAACUUAAGCAUAUCAAUAAGCGGAGGAAAAGAAACCAACAGGGAUUGCCCCAGUAACGGCGAGUGAAGCGGCAACAGCUCAAAUUUGAAAUCUGGCCUCGGCCCGAGUUGUAAUUUGCAGAGGAUGUUUCUGGCGCGGUGCCUUCUGAGUUCCCUGGAACGGGACGCCAUAGAGGGUGAGAGCCCCGUACGGUUGGACGCCUAGCCUGUGUGAAACUCUUUCGACGAGUCGAGUAGUUUGGGAAUGCUGCUCAAAAUGGGAGGUAUAUCUCUUCUAAAGCUAAAUAUUGGCCAGAGACCGAUAGCGCACAAGUAGAGUGAUCGAAAGAUGAAAAGCACCUUGAAAAGGGGGUUAAACAGCACGUGAAAUUGUUGAAAGGGAAGCGCCCAUGACCAGACUUGUGCCCGGCGGAUCACCCAGCGUUCUCGCUGGGGCACUCCGCCGGGUCCAGGCCAGCAUCGGUUUUCGCCGGGGGAUAAAGGCUCUGGGAACGUAGCUCCUCCGGGAGUGUUAUAGCCCUCUGCGUAAUACCCUGGCGGGGACCGAGGUACGCGCUCCGCAAGGAUGCUGGCGUAAUGGUCAUCAGCGACCCGUCUUGAAACACGGAUCAAGGAGUCGUCCAUUAGAGCGAGCGUUUGGGUGUCAAACCCGCACGCGUAAUGAAAGUGAACGUAGGUGAGAGCUUCGGCGCAUCAUCGACCGAUCCUGAUGUCCUCGGAUGGAUUUGAGUAUGAGUUUUACUGGACGGACCCGAAAGAUGGUGAACUAUGCCUGAAUAGGGUGAAGCCAGAGGAAACUCUGGUGGAGGCUCGCAGCGGUUCUGACGUGCAAAUCGAUCGUCAAAUUUGGGCAUGGGGGCGAAAGACUAAUCGAACCAUCUAGUAGCUGGUUACCGC
rnacentral:rRNA from 1 species